GGCACACGCCUGCCGAACAGAGGCACACACUCACUCAGGGCGUAAACAAACACAUGAAUCUACAUGUGUGACACAGGUGAGGGGAAUUCAGAGCCACUGGCGGACAGUUUGAGGACCUCAUCUCUUUAUCGCCGUUCUGCCCUGAAGAAGACUUGGCACACAGACACGCAGCAGGGAUGAGAUGGAGAGAAUCAUGGGAAGAAACCACGGAGGGAGAGGAUGGAGCGAAGCGAAAGAGGUGCUAUGGCUUUUGGUUUACUUUACUACAGUUUGAGUUUUUUUCCUCCCCAACAACACAUUUAUACACGUCUCCUUUCCUGUUGUUGGGCGGCCCGUCCCACGGGGCUCCAACCAGCAUCCUUCAGCAGAGUCACCCAAAUGUUAUCACAGCAUCAUGACAGAGAAGCCAAAUUGGGCGUCCUCUGGGCCGGUGAAGACGCGAGGAUGUUUCACAUCUAUGUUGAAACACUGACACAACCCUGGA